UUGGUGUAUUCCUGAUCUUGAUGGCAUGGUGAAAUCUGACAAAGUUCUGGCAAUCCGUGAUCCUUUCAUGCUGCUCCUGAGUAUGCUGAUUGAUAGAUCAACGAAGUGCUUCAAUGUCUUUUGGUUCCGCUAUAAUUGAGAAAGUUGGAUGUUUCGCAGACAAAAGGGCAAUGCACAUAUGAUCUACACAGGGGUCAUGCGUAUGACAAAGUUCAGUAUGGGGUCAUGCGUACUCCCAAGUGUAGCACCAUCACAGAACCUAUCUCUU
rnacentral:lncRNA from 1 species